ensembl:snoRNA
GCUUAUGAAUAAGGCAUUUAGUAAGCACGUGUUAGACUGCUGACACGGGUGAUGAGAACUGGAGUCUGAGC